CCUCCACAUACUAACUUAACUGCCUCAGACUUUGCAACUCACUUCACUGACAAGAUCUCUACAAUCAGAGAAGAGAUCUCUCAUCUUUCUUCUUCUCCUUACAAUACUUCCCCUAACUUCACUCCCUCUGCUGUUCUAUGUCCAUUCGCACCCUCUACAUUGGAAGAGGUUUCUGCUCUGCUCCAGUCCUCCCGUCCCACCACCUGCUCCCUAGAUC